rnacentral:rRNA from 1 species
GACGAACGCUGGCGGCGUGCCUAAUACAUGCAAGUCGAACGAACCGACGGAGAACUUGUUCUCUUGACGUGAGUGGCGGACGGGUGAGUAACACGUGGGAAACCUACCCUUCAGCGGGGGAUAACGGUUCGAAAGAAUCGCUAAUACCGCAUAAGAGGAUCAGUCGCCUGACUGAUUCGUAAAAGAUGGCUCUGCUAUCACUGAAGGAUGGGCCCGCGGCGUAUUAGCUAGUUGGUAAGGUAACGGCUUACCAAGGCAACGAUACGUAGCCGACCUGAGAGGGUGAUCGGCCACACUGGAACUGAGACACGGUCCAGACUCCUACGGGAGGCAGCAGUAGGGAAUCUUCCGCAAUGGGCGAAAGCCUGACGGAGCAACGCCGCGUGAGUGAUGAAGGUCUUCGGAUCGUAAAACUCUGUUAUUAGGGAAGAACAAACGUGUAAGUAACUGUGCACGUCUUGACGGUACCUAAUCAGAAAGCCACGGCUAACUACGUGCCAGCAGCCGCGGUAAUACGUAGGUGGCAAGCGUUAUCCGGAAUUAUUGGGCGUAAAGCGCGCGUAGGCGGUUUUUUAAGUCUGAUGUGAAAGCCCACGGCUCAACCGUGGAGGGUCAUUGGAAACUGGAAAACUUGAGUGCAGAAGAGGAAAGUGGAAUUCCAUGUGUAGCGGUGAAAUGCGCAGAGAUAUGGAGGAACACCAGUGGCGAAGGCGACUUUCUGGUCUGUAACUGACGCUGAUGUGCGAAAGCGUGGGGAUCAAACAGGAUUAGAUACCCUGGUAGUCCACGCCGUAAACGAUGAGUGCUAAGUGUUAGGGGGUUUCCGCCCCUUAGUGCUGCAGCUAACGCAUUAAGCACUCCGCCUGGGGAGUACGACCGCAAGGUUGAAACUCAAAGGAAUUGACGGGGACCCGCACAAGCGGUGGAGCAUGUGGUUUAAUUCGAAGCAACGCGAAGAACCUUACCAAAUCUUGACAUCCUUUGACCCUUCUAGAGAUAGAAGUUUCCCCUUCGGGGGACAAAGUGACAGGUGGUGCAUGGUUGUCGUCAGCUCGUGUCGUGAGAUGUUGGGUUAAGUCCCGCAACGAGCGCAACCCUUAAGCUUAGUUGCCAUCAUUAAGUUGGGCACUCUAAGUUGACUGCCGGUGACAAACCGGAGGAAGGUGGGGAUGACGUCAAAUCAUCAUGCCCCUUAUGAUUUGGGCUACACACGUGCUACAAUGGACAAUACAAAGGGCAGCGAAACCGCGAGGUCAAGCAAAUCCCAUAAAGUUGUUCUCAGUUCGGAUUGUAGUCUGCAACUCGACUACAUGAAGCUGGAAUCGCUAGUAAUCGUAAAUCAGCAUGCUACGGUGAAUACGUUCCCGGGUC